UACAGAGGGUGCGAGCGUUGUUCGGAAUUAUUGGGCGUAAAGGGCGCGUAGGCGGUGCGGUAAGUCACCUGUGAAAUCUCCUGGCUCAACUGGGAGCUUGCAGGCGAAACUGCCGUGCUGGAGCGUUGUAGAGGCGGGUGGAAUUCCGGGUGUAGCGGUGGAAUGCGUAGAGAUCCGGAAGAACACCGGUGGCGAAGGCGGCCCGCUGGGCAACUGCUGACACUGAGGCGCGACAGCGUGGGGAGCAAACAGG
rnacentral:rRNA from 1 species